GUAUCUCUGUUUAUUUGCUGCCUGUUCUGACAGCCCUCCUUCAUGCACAAAAAGUUGACAGAUUUCAAGCCGGAGCCCAUCGUAUUGACUCGUAACACUUCAACAGCCAGACAUGAACAUUAUCAAACUCUAGAAGAUAUUGCCAUUCUUGACAAUGCUUGAAACGAAUUAAAGAUGUUUGCACCAAGUACUACAUAGGUCUUUAUCAAAAUGCAUCUUCUGAAAAUAAGUCAUUUAAGUACCCACUAGCACCACAGUAUUCAGUGUUUUAUUAUAACAUGCAUGACAAUCUUUCCAUGUAACCUGUCUACAGCAGGGUCAUCUCCAUGGUUGUUUAACCUUUGUAUAUUAGGAGGAGAAUCUAAAACUGGCAUAAAAAACAGCAAAGAGCAAUUAUCAACAAUGCAAGGAGGAUAUACCCUGAAUUAGUAUAUGACCAGGCAAUAGUGGUGCUUCCAAAUACAAAAAAAUUGAUGAUGGUUUGUCAUCCGUUUGACUGUUUACUCUCUGCAUACCGAGACAAGUUAAAGAAUGUAAACAUUGGGAGGGAACAUGGUAUUUAAUCAAUACUGAUUUACUGAAUUAUGCUGAUGAUCAUUGGAUUCCAUACAACAUGUUUAGCACUCGUUGAGUACAAUUAUAUUAAUAAGGUUGAGACGAUGUACCGGGACCAAAUGUUUGUAAUAAAGGAUGCUCAGUUAGGCGAUAAAAUCAAGCCAUCCUGGAUCCACAAGACGUCUCCUUUGGAAGUUUCCAAAGAACAUAUUACAAAAUUGUAUUUCUCACAGCUGAUCAGAAAACAAAUAAAAGAACUGUACAAGAAGUACAAAUUAGAUUUUGAAAUGUUUGAUUAUUCACCGGAUAAAUAUUAUUUAUAUGCAGUCAUAAUUAGUAUGGUAAUUGCCCUGUAA